AACGAACGCUGGCGGCAUGCCUAACACAUGCAAGUCGAACGAGACCUUCGGGUCUAGUGGCGCACGGGUGCGUAACGCGUGGGAACCUGCCCUUAGGUUCGGAAUAACUCCCCGAAAGGGGUGCUAAUACCGGAUAAUGUCUUCGGACCAAAGAUUUAUCGCCUUUGGAUGGGCCCGCGUUGGAUUAGCUAGUUGGUAGGGUAAAAGCCUACCAAGGCGACGAUCCAUAGCUGGUCUGAGAGGAUGAUCAGCCACACUGGGACUGAGACACGGCCCAGACUCCUACGGGAGGCAGCAGUGGGGAAUAUUGGACAAUGGGCGAAAGCCUGAUCCAGCAAUGCCGCGUGAGUGAUGAAGGCCUUAGGGUUGUAAAGCUGUUUUACCCGGGAUGAUAAUGACAGUACCGGGAGAAUAAGCUCCGGCUAACUCCGUG
rnacentral:rRNA from 1 species